UUUAAUCAGCAGCAGGAAAAUAUAGUGAUGUUUCAGUUUAAUCAUCAUCAAGAAUUUUGAAGUGAUGGAACAUGGAAGCAAUGGAGUACUCAGUUUUGUUGGUGCCAAAACUUAUGUAGUUUUGAUAUGCUGUUAGUAAAAUUAGGAAAACUGACUACUCCUACAGUUCUAAGCACUGACUCCAGUUUCAGUUUUGUUGACUACAGAAUUUGUGUUGCACAGUUUCUUGGCUGUUCGAGUAAAAUUUUACUCCUUGUUUUGGUUUGGACUAUCUCAUACUCCCUCCGUCCCGAAAUUCUCGUCGCGCGCGCAGUACAAUCGUGUUUUUGCUAAAACGCCAUUGUGCUUUCAGAGCUCUGACAAACAAGCCCCCGUCUCCUUCUUCCACCUCCGCCUAUCGCCCGGCGUCGCCACGGCCAGCCCCCAUCGCCCGCGCGUCGCCACGGCCAGCCGCCCGUCGCCUGAGACGGUCCUGCGUCGCCAAAGAGCCCGCCCAGGACGUCGCCCACGAACAGGCCCUGCGCCGCCCACCACGAGCAGGACCUCCGCGGCCCACCCACGAGCGGUACCUCCGCCACCGAUUUCGCCGCCCACCGCCGGCGCGCUGGUCGCCGCGAUGGUCCACUUCGGCCCCGAUUCCGUUUCCCACCGCUGACGCGCAGGUCCACUUCGGCCGCCGCGUGAUGGUGGUGAUGGGCGACGCCGACACCCUCCGAUCCCCGCCCCCAUCUCUGCUGUUAGCUGGUGGCUGCCCCCGCCUUCGAUCCCCGCCCCCAUCGCUGCUUCUACGAGCUGGUACUGGUCCUGAAAAUUUGAAAUUUUUUUAGUUCAAUCAAUUUCAGUUCCAAGAUAGGUUCAGUUCAAUCAACUUCAUUGUAGCAGCAUGUUGUGCGUAAAUUUGUGCAGAAACUCAGAACCGACUUUUGGAAGUGCUCAGUCAAAUUCAGUUAACAGAGAACAGCU
rnacentral:lncRNA from 1 species